UCAUGGCUCAGGACUAACGCUGGCGGUAUGCCUUAGACAUGCAAGUCGAACGAGUUUCCGGGCUUGCUCGGAAGCUAGUGGCGAACGGCUGAGUAACGCGUAGGUGACCUACCCCGUAGUGUGGAAUAACUGCCCGAAAGGGUAGCUAAUACCGCAUGUUGAGCCGACAUCGAUGUCGUCUCCAAAGCAGAAAUGCGCUAUGGGCGGGGCCUGCGUUCGAUUAGCUAGUUGGUGGGGUAAUGGCUCACCAAGGCGACGAUCGAUAGGUGGUCUGAGAGGACGAUCACCCAGACUGGGACUGAGACACGGCCCAGACUCCUACGGGAGGCAGCAGUCGGGAAUUUUGCGCAAUGGGGGAAACCCUGACGCAGCAAUACCGCGUGUGGGAUGAAGGCCUUCGGGUCGUAAACCACUUUUUUCGGGGACGAUAAUGACGGUACCCGAAGAAUAAGCCACGGCUAACUACGUGCCAGCAGCCGCGGUAAUACGUAGGUGGCAAGCGUUGUCCGGAUUUACUGGGCGUAAAGCGCGCGCAGGCCGUUGAGUUAGUUAAUUGUGAAAUCCCAAAGCUUAACUUUGGAACUGCAAUUAAAACUGCUCGACUAGAGUUUGAUAGAGGAAAGCGGAAUACAUAGUGUAGAGGUGAAAUUCGUAGAUAUUAUGUAGAACACCAGUUGCGAAGGCGGCUUUCUGGGUCAACACUGACGCUGAGGCGCGAAAGUAUGGGUAGCAAAGAGGAUUAGAUACCCUCGUAGUCCAUACCAUAAACGAUGAUUGCUAGAUGUUGGAAAUUUAUUUUCAGUAUCGCAGCUAACGCAUUAAGCAAUCCGCCUGGGGAGUACGACCGCAAGGUUAAAACUCAAAUGAAUUGACGGGGGCCCGCACAAGCGGUGGAUCAUGUGGUUUAAUUCGAAGCAACGCGAAGAACCUUACCUGGGUUUGACAUCCUCUGACAUCCGUAGAGAUACGGCUUUCGUAGCAAUACGACAGAGUGACAGGUGCUGCAUGGCUGUCGUCAGCUCGUGUGGUGACAUGUUGGGUUAAGUCCCGCAACGAGCGCAACCCUUGUCUUUAGUUGCCAGCAUUAAGUUGGGCACUCUAGAGAGACUGCCGUGGUUAACACGGAGGAAGGUGGGGAUGACGUCAAGUCCUCAUGGCCUUUAUAUCCAGGGCGACACACGUGAUACAAUGGUUGGUACAGAGGGAUGCGAGACCGCGAGGUGGAGCUAAUCUCAAAAAACCAAUCUCAGUUCGGAUUGGAGUCUGCAACUCGACUCCAUGAAGUUGGAAUCGCUAGUAAUCGCGGAUCAGCACGCCGCGGUGAAUACGUUCCCGGGCCUUGUACACACCGCCCGUCACACCAUGGGAGCUGACUCAACCAGAAGACGGUAGGGCUAACCGCAAGGGAGCCCCCGGCGAAGGUGGGGUUGGUGACUGGGGUGAAGUCGUAAC
rnacentral:rRNA from 1 species